UCAGUAAAAUUAAAACUCCCCCUGAUGAUUUUGAUGGACAUACCAACAUUGUGUCCUUUUGGGAGCAAGUGACACAAGACAUGGUUGGACGGGGAUUUCUUCGAAGUGGCAUGAAGAACCCCUACGUCAUUCCUCCAAGUUAUGAUUGUUGGGCUCUGUGGAUUGGUGUGAACAGAAGAAAAUCUGAAAUGGUGUUGAACACGGAAUUUGCAAAAAUUCAGAAAACCAGGCCAUGUGACAUGCUUGAUCUUGAUAUUAAUGAAGAACGACUUGGAGAUGAGCUCUUCAAGAUGAAGGUUGAAGCAAUACGGAAACUCUGCAAAGAGUGUGGUUUGGACUCGAAAGGCUCUAAGAUGGACCUUGUCUUAAGGUUAAGAGAGGAGAUGCAAAAUCGUGCCUCAUAUGAUAAAGUGUUUCAACAAAUCUGGGGUGCU